AGCAAUUUGCAUAUGAAUCUCCGUCGUCCACACUAACAAUAUACACAUCAAAUUAAAGCUACGAGUAUCGUCUUUUUGAAUAUCCAAAUCAUUUUCCACAGUAACCACAACAGCACUGACAAGACAGCCGUUUUACAGAAAAGCACGUGCAAAGGAUUUGGACUGUUCUUACCUUUUGAGGGCUCUCAUUCUGUCAAACAUCCACAUAUCCCCAGAAAGUUGGUCUCAUUUGGUCCGUACAGGUCCAGAGAAUAUAAUCCAGUGAAGAAAAUAUGUCCACAAAAUGAAUUAGUUCCUCUAUGCCGGAAAGUAUUCCAAAGUAUUCCAAACGUGAAAAGUGAGCCGUCACUUUUUUUUGCAUUUCUUCUGGCGAUUUCAGGGCUAAGAUAUUUACUGAGCACAAUAACGCUACUGUCUAUGCUAAACGAAAGAGUUAGCAUUUAAUUGGCACUUUGGUCAGCCAAUAGAGUGCAAGUUUUCGGUUACUAAAGCCCCACAUCGCCAAUCAGUGGUACAGAACUCAGAAAGUUUACUCCCCACUUCCCCUCGUGCACAAUCACCCAAACUUGAUUACAGGCGCGGAGUGAUAUUUUCCCUUACAGUCAACGAGCCAAUGAACACAAUGACAUAUCACAAGCCAUGGUUUUCUGUAUACCUGCGCCGCUUGGAUGAUGCGUAACCGCCGGCACAAACGCAAACAGACUGUGUGCGUAAAGCGUGCGUCUUUUACGCAGCCAAUGGUUACGCGUUACGCACUAGUGACGCUUUACCUAAUAGCCAAUGGGCAGUUCAAAAAAAGAGUUUAUAUAUACAGUUUGAGGUGUUUACUGUACACAGUACAUCAGUACAGUAUAGUACAGUAUAGUACAGUACAUACUCCGUGCGUGUUGGUGCUCUGCCUUUGUUUCAAAGUUAUGGCUAAACGAACAGAGAAGACGCGGUUUUCAGCCUUGGAAGCUGCGGAAAUAUGUACGAGAAGGCUGAGUGACACCUCGGACCAGGAGCUGUCGGAACCGGAGAGCGAUGUGUCCGCGGUGGACUCAGUGGAAGAAGAAAUGUUUUUUGAGGGAUUGGAUGCCAUUUUGGAUCGGCAAAAUGACUCUGACCCUGAUUGGGAACCAGACACUGAAGUUUUGGCUGAGGUGCAUGUGGAAAUUGAUGACCCUGAACUGACUUCAGUGCCUGCAGCCGAACCAGAGCCGGGCCCUUCCUCAAAGAUUCCCCGGGUUGAGAAAACAGCAAAAAGAGGCAGAGGACGGAGGAGGGGCAGAGGCAGAGGCAGAGGUGCAAGACCAUCUUCACCUUCCACAGGACGUUGGAACAAUACAGAAGUGGCGGAUUUCACACCUACCCCCCUUCCCUUUUGUCCUACACGUACUCCUGGACCUCAACUCAUUAGCACAUCUGACUACACAUGUCUGGAACUGUUCCAGCUGUUUUUUACUGGUACUGUGUUAUCGACACUUAUCAGAAACACAAAUAUGCAUGGCCAAUCAGCAUACAGAGCAUGGACGGACAUUGCGCUUCAAGACAUUUUCUCUUUUUUGGCACUUGUUAUAUACAUGGGAUUCGCAAAAGUACCUUCACUUACUGAUUACUGGAGAAGAGGAAAGUUGUACAGCCUACCAUUCCCUAAAUCAGUUAUGACCGGAAAGAAAUUCUUUUCUAUUAUCCGUGCUCUCCACUUGAGUAGUCCAGAAGAAGAUGCCAAAAAUGAAGGAAAAAGAGGCACUGAAGAGUUUGACCGCUUGGGCAAGAUCAAACCACUGUAUACUGAGAUAAGAGAUGCAUGCCGCCAGAAUUACCAACCUGGUCAGCAUAUCGCCAUUGAUGAAAGGAUGGUGGCAUCAAAGGCAAGAGUGAGCUUCAAACAAUACUUAAAAAGCAAACCUGACUCAAAAUCAGGCUACACAUGGGACUUCUUUGUUUAUGAGGGCAAAAGCUCUCAGGCCAGCAAGAACGGGCUGAGCUAUGACUCUGUUAUGACCCUUUUGGACACAUCUCUACUGGGCACAGGCUAUAAACUCUAUGUAGACAAUUUUUACACUAGCCCUAUUCUAUUCCGUGACCUUCUGAAAAAAAAAAGUGUCAAACUAAUAGACAAGGAUACCCAGGACAACAGAAAAUACGCUGGACUCCAGAGCUCCCCGUGGCAGUAUAAGGUGGAUUCGUGAGGACCCCUUGCUCUUUGUCCAAUGGAAAGACACCCGUGAUGUAUUCAUCUGCUCCACCAUGCACACUGCCCAUGGAGAGGAGACAGUGGAGCGCCGGGUAAAGGAUGACACAGGCUGUUGGACUAUGAAAGAUGUGCCAGUUCCACCAGCCAUCAAGGACUAUAACAGGCACAUGGGAGGCGUUGACCUAUCCGAUGCAUUGAUCGGAUAUUAUGAGGUUUUACACAAAACCAAAAAAUGGUACAAGACUUUUUUUAUCAUUUUGUGGACAUUGCUGUGGUGAAUGCCUUUAUCCUUUAUAAAGGACAGUGCACGUUAAAGGCUAAAAUCCCAAUGCACCAAAAGGCAUUUAGAGAAACCCUUGUAUUGGAGCUGGCAGAGGCAGGAGCCAUCAGUACAGAGCGGGAGGAGGAGAGUAGGAAAGAGACACAUCAUCGUCUUGUGCACAUCGUCGCAAGUGGUGACAAGACCCAAGGAAGACUGAAAUGCAGGAAGUGCCAUGCGAAAACGGCUGUAAAAUGUUCAACCUGUGACGUGCCCCUGUGUUUCCAGCCACAAAGGGACUGUUAUAAUGACUGGCACAAAGAACAAGGACAAUAGAAAAGUGUUUUUACAGUUUGCAGUGUGUGUGUGUUUACAGUUUGAAUUGUGUUUGUUUACGGUUUGAAGUGUGUUUGUUUACAGUUUGCAUUGUUAUACAUUUGUAAAUAUACAUUUAUUUUGACCCAUAACACUUGUUUUGACUAUAUUUUAUAUAUAAAUAUACAUUUUAUAUUGUGUUUUGAUAUGCUAUAUAUAUUUUCAUAAGGAAUAGAGCAGCUUGGUGUGUAGAUAAAGAUUCCUCUAAGUGUGAGCUUUCAGUAGAGCCCUCAUUGAUGUCUGUGGGUUGAAGCAUUCAAAAGUUAUUGCAUUUUUUCCAAACGUUCUCCAAAUGUCUCCAUUUGGAUAGGUUUGGAUAGGUUUGGAUAAAUUUGGAUAAAGCAAAAGUCCCUCUGGAAAACGCCUAAAUAUACUAGCAAUAAAAGUAGUCUAAAAUCCUCAUUUUUAUAGAUAUUCUCAUCAAAUUUGAAAUGUAAGAGGUCAACAUGGUUUUCAAUAGAAAUAUAGAGUGUUUCAGUCCCCAGCUACCUACUGCAGCUUUCUACACCUUAAUUUUAACAAAAAAAUUUGGGCGAGGAUGAGAAAAAUAAUUUUUUAGGUGUGUGCCAAAGUGUAUAAAUACCUACCAGACAUACUUAGAGUGAUUCUUACACCUGUGGGUGAAACUAUUGGGUGUUACCUUACAAAAAAACCCAAACUUGUGUAUAUGCAACUGAGGGUUCACUCAUGGCAAUCAUUUUAGUUUGGAGAGGUCAGAA